UGGAGAAAUGGUUUCAGCUGCUUAGUGUGAUUUGAUGGCUGCUGUGUUGUUUGAAACCUCCCUGAUGUACUUAGGCUGGGGGAAAAAAAAAUUUGAUGGAGCAACCAUAAUGAAAAACAUGGAAUUAAGAUCCCUAAAAAUGUCCAGUGGAGAUGCAGAUCCCUUUGGAAAUUUUAAAUGGAAGUGCAGACCUCUUGGAAUUGGAAGUCUAAUGUAUCUGCCAGGCCUCCGCAGCUGUCCUAGUUUGAAUGACUGGAGUGGGCCCUGGUGCAUUGAAUGCAGUGGCUGAGUGGUCCUGGCUCCACAAGACUCCACACUCAAGGACUUGCCUGAGGGCAGUUUUCAGCAGGCACUAAGAGGUGGCAACAGGCCCUUGUGCGAUGGGAAUGCAGCCUUUGUCCCCUUCACCAAAGAUUUCAGCUUCAACAAGGCUGGAUUCCUGAGGCAUCUGGAUAGGCUCUGUCAGCAAGGUAUAAGGAAUGGGCAAAGCAGGGAGGGUUAUCUCCCUUUUUGAGGGGACUGGGAACUAGCCAGGGCUUUAGACUUCUGCCCUCUCCACCCCUUAAACAGAUUCUUCUGGCUGCUUCGCAGGUGUAGCCAGGAGGCUGUGCAUAUAUCAGCUGUGCAGUCUGAGAGCCCUUCAUUAGCAGGGAGGUGCAGAGAAGGGGCUUCAAAGGGUCAAUUAUGAUAUUUGUCUUACUGUUAGGAAGGGGAGGGGGAGGAGGCUAACGAGUGUGUGUAUGUAUCAGUUUGGCUAAUCUCCUUCCAUUUUGUGUUGUGUUGCAAGAAGAAGAAGGAAAAAAAAGUUAACUUGCUGGCUUCCCCAGACUGCCUGGCACCAGUGGUCAUUUCUGUAGGCUAUAAGGGUUGUCAAUUUAAGCUGUAAGGACAGGUGUAAAUCUGUCCUGACAUUCCACCCUCCCAGCGCCUCCUCACCUGAAGGGCUCUCAUUUAUUACAGAGAACAAGCAAAUAAACCCAACAAUCACUUUGACUUUAAAAAGAACCCCACACUGCCAGUUAACAUCCUUGCCCCCUGUGUGUAGGUUUUUAUAGUGUGCCUUAAAGUAAACCCCCCUCAGCUGUUUGUUAAAGCAAAGCAAAUAAGGGCAAUUCCAACUUGCACACAAAUCCAUUUGUUUGCUACCUUUUGAAACAGCAGAAAGACACUGGUGGAAUGAGAUAGACAGGAAAGCUGAGCUAUUACCUGAACAGACUCUGUCCCAGGGCCAGCAGAAGUAAAACAGUGACAAUGUAAAAAAUGUGAUUUAUUUUUUUUAUGGUGUAAGAGAUUUUGUGAAGAAAAGGCAUUUGUUAAAUGUGGAAAAAAAUUGCAGAAAAUACACUUCUGUAAAAACUAAGGGCUUGGAUUUGUGUGUGUGAGAGAGUGCAUUUCUUUAUGCCAUUUUUUUAUUAACUUUGCCUUCCAAACACCAGAGAGCUGUUUUUCUACAGAAGCAGAUCCAAGGAACUGCUUGCUGUUCCUUUAUCAGCCCAACUGUCCCCAUGUUUUUCAUUAGGCAGUUAUAUGGUGCAUUUCCCAUCAAGAAUUGCUUUAAUCUUGAUUGCAUUCUAAAAGCUCAAGAUUUUGCAAUUCUGCUGGGCUACCUGUGACUUUUUUUUUUGGUUCAAUAUUAUGGAUCCUACCUGCAAGCUGAAAACCUUAUUGGCCGGAUCUCCCCCCAAAGUAACCAUUCUGUGGAUGUAGCAAAUCCUAAUUAAUUAUAACUUAUCUCAUAACUUGUCAGCAUCAGAUGUUUGAUCCUGUUUAGAAACCAUAUUCCCAGGGGAGGAGGUACUGGGGGAAUAGCUCGAUGCUGCUCAAUAGUGAUUUAAUGGACGCAUUAAUGCUGAGACAGAUAACUGUAUAGGCAUGUUAAGUAAUACAUCAGAAAUACUUCCAGAGAGACAACUUUACAGCUCACUGCAGAACUACUAACUGAUUUUAUACCUUUCUGUUGCGCUUCAUACAUGGAGAGCGUGAAUUUCUCUACACGCGCAAGUCUGGUCUUGUCUUCCUUUUCUUUGCUUUUUAUUUUAUUUUCUGGGAAGAGGCACUAUUAUUUCUACCACACCUCUCCCACCUUUUGCCUUCCCCUGUACAAAACUGGGUGAAUGAAUACGAGAUGCCUCGUUAGGAUUGCUUUGUACGGCUAGAGGAGAGGAGAUAGGCUUAUUCACAAGGUUUAUUUUAAGCAAUGAGCUCUGGUGUGGAUGAGAUGGCUGGGGUUUGAGUGGGUCCGGGCGGCGAUGGCAGGAAAGACCGAAGUCUAAGCCCGUGGAUCAGUGCAGGGAAGGGCGUGUGUAGCGAUCUCCAUGAAUGUCUGUGCGCUCAGUGCUCCCGCUCCAGCUGACCCGGGUCAAUUCCAGCUCGGGUCCCCGCUUGAUGCACGCUGAGUGUUUAAACGAAAGAAACAAGACUCCUUCCCAAGUGAAACAUGUCUGAUUCUUCUCCAUGUGCUCGGACCCGCUCUCCAGGGCGUUAUUCUUUCUUGAAGAAAGGACCAUCCGUCCACGUCCAAACAGCAGGGCUUGAAAACCCCCCUCUGGGACAACGCAGCCUUUAGCAGUAGGUGGGGUAAUAGGAGCCGCGGCGCUGAAUUUGCUACAUUUCCAAAGGCUUUCUUGGAGAGAGCGACUUGACCUUGCCCCGCUGGAAUAACGUGAUUUUACAGCUGGGGCUGCGAGGGAAGGGGCGGGGGGCUGCCGUUCAGACGCUGGCAGCCUGGGCACGUCGAGGUUGUCCAGGCGAUCGCAGGCAGGAGAAAGCGCCCACAUGGCAGUAGAUAGCAACAUUACGGCUGAUGGCAAAACACGGGGCGUGCAGGUGUGAUGCUGGCAGCGCUGGGGGCUUGUGUAAAAACCCACAGCCCUAAACGAAGCACGAAGCCGUCAUGUUUCAAGCGCUGAGGCUUGGGGGAAAUAACGCGGUGCAGUGCCUGAAAGCAAAGGCAGAUGGAGUCGGCAGAGGGGGUUCGCAGGGCACUCAGCCCCACAAGUCAGCUGGAGCCUGGCAAACUUCCUUGACAAAAAGGCAGGGUAGAUUUGCACCUUGCAGAUAAUUAAAUCACACACGCACACAUCAUAAACUAUAUAGCCACAACAGUUAGAUUACGUGUGUGUGUGUGUGUUCGGCCGGAGACGGGUAGAUUUGCAGUUUAUAGACUAACUACAUCACCAUCAUAUAUAUAUAUACAUAUAUAUAUAUGUCGAGGUGUCAAUUCAAUUCCUAGUCACAGCAGAGCCCGGAGACUACGUAAUUAGUCCUGAGCCACAAAGGGAUGUUAUUACUUAAGCAAACACAGACAAUAGAAGAAAAGACAAAUUAGUGAGCUCUGCAAAUAAGGGGUGGGAGGAGGCGAUCCCUUCGGAGCAUUCAUUAAUUAAACUGCUUCAUCAUCCGGGGAAAUCCACUGGGUUUUAUAAAUAGGAAAGGGCAAAGUGUGCGCCUAUAAAAUGAGAAGCCUUGGUCGGACAAUAGUGUCUACUGAGCUGAGUCUGGGUCUCCAACCAUGCCAUCAUACCCUAAGCACGCAGGCAUAGUGGAUAGUUUGUCUCCCCAGUUUCGCCCUGUGAUAUCCCAACCGAGCAGUGCGUUUGGGUAGCAGGGUCUCCAGCGGGAGAGUACUACCCUAGUCAGACAAUACUUUGUAAUUGCUGGGCUCUCAUCGUACACUAAUACCUGGCCAGAAUAAUACAUGUUAAUCUCAUACUAUCAUACAUGAAGAGCAAACCACACUAUAAUAUGUGAUCUGGUUCUCUUUUCUUUCUCCGCCUUUCCCAACAAGCACCAGGUAAUACAAAUCCUCUGCACAUAAGCCCACGGGAAGUGUAUGAGAGACCUUAUUCCUUCACACACAGCAACGGGACCACCUCCCUGCCCCUUCGUUUCCCCAAGGAGAUGUGUAUGCUCCCGUUUGCUGAGGGGCCCGAGCACCCACGGGAAUAUAAAGCCAUAUCCUUCUUCCCACCUAUUGUCCCCCCUGCACUGUAACAAGCAGCGCGGCGGAAAUGGAUUGAACAAGCCUCAACUCAAGUGUCUAAUUACGACCUUGGAAACAAACACUAGCAUGAAAACAGGUUGGGGCCG